rnacentral:lncRNA from 1 species
AGAGUUCCUUCUGGACUCAGAGAAGCAGGAUCCAGGCUCCAUCAGCUCAGUUCCCCUCCACCAAGAAACAGCCCAGCGAGCAGUACCUGGUGGCGCCAUGCUUCAUAACGUCAGCAAAGGUGUGGUGUAUUCAGCUGGCGCUCACGUAAGCAAAGACAACAGUUGGCUAAAGCUCGGACUGUAGAGCUGGGGGACCCUGACCGGGACCAAAGGCAUGGUGACAGCAGUGUCUUCGUGGAUUCUCCUCAUGGUCUGGAGCCCUGUAUUCCCAGCCAGGGACCACAUGCAGACCUUGGCUGCCGACUUUACCUGCAUAUUCCACAGCAGCAGCAGGAGGAAGUCCAGCGGCUCUUGAUAUUGGGGGAACCUGCCAAGGGCUGGCAGGGGCUGGCAGGCCAACUGGGCUACCAAGCUGAAGCUGUGGAAACCAUGGCCUGUGACCAGGACCCAGCCUAUGCCCUGCUAAGGGACUGGGCUGCUCAAGAAGGCAGUGGAGCAACCCUCAGAGUGCUAGAAGAUGCUCUGACUGCCAUAGGCCG